GAUGAACGCUAGCUACAGGCUUAACACAUGCAAGUCGAGGGGAAACGAUAGAGAAAGCUUGCUUUUUCUAGGCGUCGACCGGCGCACGGGUGAGUAACGCGUAUCCAACCUGCCCAUCACUUGGGGAUAACCUUGCGAAAGUAAGACUAAUACCCAUUGACGUCUCUAGAAGACAUCUAAAAGGGAUUAAAGAUUUAUCCGUGAUGAAUGGGGAUGCGUAUGAUUAGCUUGUUGGCGGGGUAACGGGCCACCAAGGCGACGAUCAGUAGGGGUUCUGAGAGGAAGGUCCCCCACAUUGGAGCUGAGACACGGUCCAAACUCCUACGGGAGGCAGCAGUGAGGAAUAUUGGUCAAUGGACGAGAGUCUGAACCAGCCAAGUAGCGUGCAGGAUGACGGCCCUAUGGGUUGUAAACUGCUUUUAUAAGGGAAUAAAGUGGGAGUCGUGACUCUUUUUGCAUGUGCCUUAUGAAUAAGGACCGGCUAAUUCCGUGCCAGCCGCCGCAGUAA
rnacentral:rRNA from 1 species